UGAGGAAUAUUGCGCAAUGGCCGAAAGGCUGACGCAGCGACGCCGCGUGGAGGAUGAAGUCCGUUAGGAUGUAAACUCCUUUUGCAGGGGAUGAAUAGUUCCGAUUUAUCGGGACCUGACCGUACCCUGCGAAUAAGGAUCGGCUAACUACGUGCCAGCAGCCGCGGUAAUACGUAGGAUCCGAGCGUUGUCCGGAAUUACUGGGUGUAAAGGGCGUGUAGGUGGGUCUCUCAGUCGGGGGUGAAAUCCUGCAGCUCAACUGCAGAAUUGCUUCCGAUACUGGAGGUCUUGAGUGCGGCAGAGGGAGAUGGAAUUCAUGGUGUAGCGGUGAAAUGUGUAGAUAUCAUGAAGAACACCGGUAGCGAAGGCGGUCUCCUGGUCCGUUACUGACACUGAGGCG
rnacentral:rRNA from 1 species